GAUGAACGCUGGCGGCGUGCCUAACACAUGCAAGUCGAACGAAGCAUCUUAUCUUGAUUUCUUCGGAUUGAUUGAUUUGAUGACUGAGUGGCGGACGGGUGAGUAACGCGUGGGUAACCUGCCUUAUACAGGGGGAUAACAGUUAGAAAUGACUGCUAAUACCGCAUAAGCGCACAGUAUCGCAUGAUACAGUGUGUAAAACUCCGGUGGUAUAAGAUGGACCCGCGUCUGAUUAGCUAGUUGGUGAGGUAAUGGCUCACCAAGGCGACGAUCACGAGCGGGCCUGAGAGGGUGAACGGCCACAUUGGGACUGAGCCACGGCCCAAACUCCUACGGGAGGCAGCAGUGGGGAAUAUUGCACAAUGGGGGAAACCCUGAUGCAGCGACGCCGCGUGAGCGAUGAAGUAUUUCGGUAUGUAAAGCUCUAUCAGCAGGGAAGAAAAUGACGGUACCUGACUAAGAAGCCCCCGCUAACUACGUGCCAGCCGCCGCCGUAACAC
rnacentral:rRNA from 1 species